AAAGAGGAGAGGAAGAAAAAGAAAGGAAAAGAAAGAAAGAAAGGAAGAAGGAGAAGAAGAGAAGGGAAGAGGGAGUUGGUGCUGGAUUUUUUUUCCGAGUUUUUCUAGCAAGAAAGAACACUAACAAGGGGAAAAGAAGGAUUUUUUAUCUGGGUUACAAGGAAUUUGAGGGAGAGAAAUGGAGAAGAAGGUGAACAGUAGCAAAAACAGGGGUCAGCAGAGGUAGCAUAUUUUUCUUCUGUCCAGGAGGAGCUUUUGAUUAUGGUUUUAAGUGGAUGGAAGGUGAUAUUUACUAGUUGGUAUCAUGAGGUCAGUUUUGCAGGAAAUUUAUGGUGAAUAGUGGAUAUUAGUUUGAUGGAUCUUAGAGCUCUGAUUGGCUAGACUCGAUGGUUCUGGGGAAGCAAGGGAAGGAAAUCUACAGUAGAGAAUAAGGAUGUGACACUAAGUCUGCAUCCUUCUCUCCCUCAUUCUCUCUUUGUUUUUACCUAUUAAUAAAAAUAAUAUAAGCUGUCUACACAAAAAUAUUUAUCAAUUUUCUUAAAUUUCUAAGUA